rnacentral:ncRNA from 1 species
GUUAUCUCUCCUGAGCUUUAGGAUCUCAAAGACAUAUAAUGAAAAUACCAUAUUGAUCUUAUUGACAUCAAUGCAAACACCAUAAUACCAUGCCCACCAUUGAUCAUAUUGGCCUUCUUUGACAUCAAUGCCAACACCAUAACACCAUGUCCAACAAUUUAUUCCCAGUGAUCUGCAUGUCAAAGUGAAUAAAUUCAACCAAGCACAGGUAAAUGGCGAGAGUAACCAUGACUCUCUUAAGGUAUCCAUAUGCCUCUUCAUUUAAUUAGUGAUGCACGUGAAUGUAUUAAAGAGAUUCCCACUACCCCUAGCUACUAUAUAGAGAAACAACAUCCAAGGGAAUGGGCUUGGAAAAAUUAGCGGGGAAAGA